rnacentral:rRNA from 1 species
AGUGAACGCUGGCGGUAGGCCUAACACAUGCAAGUCGAACGGCAGCACAGUAAGAGCUUGCUCUUACGGGUGGCGAGUGGCGGACGGGUGAGGAAUACAUCGGAAUCUACUUUUUCGUGGGGGAUAACGUAGGGAAACUUACGCUAAUACCGCAUACGACCUACGGGUGAAAGCAGGGGAUCUUCGGACCUUGCGCGAUUGAAUGAGCCGAUGUCGGAUUAGCUAGUUGGCGGGGUAAAGGCCCACCAAGGCGACGAUCCGUAGCUGGUCUGAGAGGAUGAUCAGCCACACUGGAACUGAGACACGGUCCAGACUCCUACGGGAGGCAGCAGUGGGAAAUAUGGGACAAGGGGCGCAAGCCUGAUCCAGCCAUACCGCGUGGGUGAAGAAGGCCUUCGGGUGGUAAAGCCCUUUUGUUGGGAAAGAAAAGCAGCAGGUUAAUACCCCGCGGUUCUGACGGUACCCAAAGAAUAAGCACCGGCUAACUUCGU